GGGUGCGUGGCGCAAUGGUAGCGCGUUGGUUUUCGGUAACGGAGCACACCAAAGGUUGCAGGGUUCGUAUUAGCUCUUCUAUGCAUCUAGAGCCACGGCUAACUCUGCCAAGUUCGAGCCCUGUCGCGCUCG
rnacentral:tRNA from 1 species